CUCCCCCCCCCACCCAAGGUUGUAAUUAUAAAUCUGUCCCCUUUCUCCCCCGUAAAAAAGGGAGGCGGGCACAAAGAACAUUCCUGCCAAAUCUGUCUCUUUUCUAAAGGACGGCAAGCUUCCAAAUGCCAACGAGGGAAAAACAGCUGAGAGGCUGAAUGCCUUGUAAAUAAAUAAGCCCACCCUAACCCCUCUGUUUACUUUGCGGACCAGAUGCGGCACGUGAAGCUUCCCUCACCUGUCAUCUUCGAAUAAAAUGCAUACAAGGAAGACAUAGAUAGGGAAAAACAACCCCGUGGGGGCGGGGCGAGCGGGUGAGGGGACAGCUGAAGCGUGGAAUCUGCUUUUGAUUUAAGAAAGGGACUAAAUCUCUUAUCCUGGGCAGCCCACAGUCUGUCCUCUCCCACCUCACGUUGCAGACCGAUUAAGGCUACAAACAGUAAACUGCUGGCACUUGGCAGUUUGGAGACCUCUUGUUCCAAUUCUCCUUGAAAUACAGUUCUUUGGCUGGCGGAAUAGGCACUGGAGAAGUUUCCGUCAAGAAGCAAUGGAAAGUGCACCCAAUGCUGCACAUGGUCUGAUGAACCUCAGGAUAACAAAAGAAAAUGCAUCUAAGAGAAACAAUAUAGUAUGCCCCGAAGAGACAGUCCACUGUAAGAACUUGUUUUUCUGCCUGAGGAUAUGCCUGUAUAACUUUUCCCCGGGAAAUAAACAGUGAGAAACCUUAAAAUUAGCGAUGUAGUGAAAGUAUAACUUCUAACUGCCUCAUAAAUUGCAACUAAUAAUAUAGCCAGAUAACCUAGUUGUCUGUAAAAGGGCUUUAACCUAAUGGCAAUGCUUAUUACAUUAGCUAAUAGCUAGGUUUUAAUUUUUUUUCAGGCCCAGUUGGUUUCUCUGGCAUGCCAACCCCAUACCUUUAUUCCCGUGUGUGUGUGUAAGUACCUGUGUUCCCUUUAAGAUUCCACCUUUACCUGCCAUGCCAAAUUUCAAAGAGAGAACAAUCGUCUUGGUAAGACGCUGGAGGAAGAAGCUGGACAUUCCUUGCAGCAUUUUGUCAGGGGGGAGAGUUAAAAAGAAAAUACUCACCUUGCUACAUGUGUAUAUUCUUCGGCCCAUAUAAAAUUUUGAUGCAGUACUUGGAGGGAUUGGUUUCAAUGCAUUAUAUGCUCGACUAUGGGAAUUGAAUAAUAAAAUCUAUCUCUAUCUCUGGAGCAGAGCUUAAAUAUAGAUAUUGCAUCUCCUUUCCCCUUCGUAUUGGUUUAAGAAAGCACCACCUUCUCCCUUCAGGUCUUUUCAGCCUUCGUCGUCUUGUUUGUAGCUUGCACUGCAGCAAGUAGAAAUGUUAGAAAAAUAAGGCCUACACUCAGGAGAAAUGAAAAGGCAGUCAGGGAAAAAAAGAGAGAGAGAUUGUAGAACGUAUAGCAGAAGCUUCAUCUCUGAGGUAAAGCAACAUUUAACAAUUGAUGUUAAGGAGGAAAAUGAUGGGGUUCUUUUGUUUCGCAGAAGAUCCACACAAAAGCCAAUAUGGUUGGAGGCUAAAAGGACCCCAAGAGGCUGCACAGGAUGCUAUAUUCACAUGAAGCUUUUCCUUUUGGACUUUGAUGAGUCAUAAUGUGUUCUCUGAACUUGCUUUUCUCUUUCUAGUUUGGCAUCAAGAGAUAGAAGUCGCUUUUUCAUGUCUGUCUGGCCACAUUCACUUGUUAUGUAAGUCGGCUCUGGUUGAUGUUCUGUUUAGAGUAGAUAUUGGGUUUGAAAAUUGAUAUCUAGUUAUAACACCCUCAUAAAGAAAGAUGCCGUGCACAAAGUUAGGAAGCUUGUGAUCCCACCAGGCAAACUGGUACUGCUGGCUGAAAUGUUGCCUGGCUCAAACGGGAGCAAGUCAGACCCUUGGGGAAUGAGUACAUUCAUCUACAGUAACGGAACCCAAACGUGGACAAAGUGAAUCAGCCGACAAUUGACUUUAGCGAAGAGUUUAGAAUUAGUAAGUAAAUUUACUAUGGAGGUAAACACUCCUUGCUCUUCUUCCCACCCAAUAGUCUCAAGAGAUUUUGUUUCACCAGUCAUUCCUCCAAAAUACCACCCAGUUCUCUUUGUGAUGGUAUCACCUUCUAGCUUGAGAGCCUUUGUCUACUUCCAAUCCAUUCCAUGAUGAAUUUCAGCAGUAGCAUGUCUUCCAAGGCUAGGCAAGGACAGAUUUCUGCCAGCCUUGUUGACUUCCUCACAUCACUUAGCUCCAGAGACCUGGCCUACCUACUGGUUCCUAGGGGGCCAUAUUGGAAAUACUUCCCUCUGACCAAAAUGCACGUUCCCAGUCCACGUCCUCCAAGACUCAGCUGUGGCGCAGCAUCCUUCCAGUGGCCCUCCUUGCCCUCCCCAGGCAAAGGAAGCUGCUUAUCCUACUCUGCUCCCAUAGCAACCAGUGUGUACCUCCAUUACAGCACUUAUCACUUUGAUGCGAUUAUUUGUUUGGUAUCCUCCACUAGAUGGUUAGUGCCUGGAGGGGGUAGAGCAAGUUCAAUUCAUCUUUGAAACCUCAGCACUUAGCCGGAUGUCUAGUACAGUACAUUGUAUGUUGUUUAACAAAAAAAAAAAAAAAAAAAAAAAAAAAAAAACCCACAACUUUGUUGAAUGACAGGAUGAGAUAUAUAUAUUAAAAUUAUCCGAUAGGAUUUAACCAGACUUCCCAAUUCAUAAUUCUCAUGUCAAUGAACAAGAUUACUAAGUGUUCAGAAUCUGUUGUUUUCCAAGCUGAAAAGGCUAAUAUGUUUUUGUUUUGUUUGUUUUGUUUUGUUUUGGGGGGUGUAAAGUGGGAGGUGAGAAGCUUCAUCUCUUGCAGUCAUAUAAAGAGCACUGAGAGGAGGUUUUGUUUGGUUUUUAAAUUAGGCUAGGAAUAACAUGAGUGUACACUUGGCAACUGUGUGAUCAGCAAUAAUCAUUAUAAUAGCAUCUCCUUGUAUUCCUCCUUCAAAUCACAUGCCACUGUUUGUACACAGACCAUUACUUAUGCCAUGUAUCCACGUGACCCUAUUAGUUAUGUGACAUUAUCCCCAUUUUACAGAUGAAGAAACUGAGAGGCAGUAAAUAAUUUGCCUAAGACAGGGGUCUCCAAAGUGGAGUGAGCAAAGGGAAUUCGCUGUGACUUGGGAAGAACAUUAGAAAUUCUAUUUCUUUCUCCUUUAAUGAUUAAAAAAAUAUGUAAUGACCCGAAAGAGAAGAGCUGUACAAAUGUUUAUGAUAUUCAUUUACCCUAGCACCUUUACAUGGUGCCAAGUAAAGUGGUCACUGCAAAGUAUUGUAUCUGAGGAGUACUUAGGGAAGAGCCACAGAUGGCAGGAUGACUGUGGCACCCCUCUGGUUCUUUCACUUUCAGGGUGUCUACGCUGCCUGAAGCUUACACCUUCCACAAAGUGUCUCCUCUGGUUUUCACCAAUUAACUCUCUUAUUUGGAAAACAAAUGGCUUAAAAGAUUCCUUCGAAAAAAAUCAAAGGUUGAGAUAAAUCCAAUAAUGCACUCACAGGUGAAAAUAAAGAUCAAAUCUGCCCCUUUAAGUUCUAAGAGUUUUUUGUCAGCCACACUGAGAAGCAAAAACAAUGACAGUCUAAUUGGAUCUGACGAGAAAUAGGUCAAAAACAUUCACAAUUAUUCAAGACUCUUUGCAGUUUGGAUUUAUAUGCACUAUCACUAAUGAUGAAUUCUGAUCUGAGCAUAUAUUUUGCCGUGAGAUAUUAGCUAUUGAUAGAGUAUGAUAUCAUCAUGAUUAGCAAGAUAUUUUAUUCUCUCAUCUUCAUCUCACUCUAACUUCUAUUUUGUGUAUGUUUAUGGUGCACUUGAUAUAUUAAUGCUGAAUACAUGUAUUACGA